GAUGAACGCUGGCGGCGUGCCUAAUACAUGCAAGUCGAGCGAACAGACGAGGAGCUUGCCCCUCUGACGUUAGCGGCGGACGGGUGAGUAACACGUGGAUAACCUACCUAUAAGACUGGGAUAACUUCGGGAAACCGGAGCUAAUACCGGAUAAUAUAUUGAACCGCAUGGUUCAAUAGUGAAAGACGGUUUUGCUGUCACUUAUAGAUGGAUCCGCGCCGCAUUAGCUAGUUGGUAAGGUAACGGCUUACCAAGGCGACGAUGCGUAGCCGACCUGAGAGGGUGAUCGGCCACACUGGAACUGAGACACGGUCCAGACUCCUACGGGAGGCAGCAGUAGGGAAUCUUCCGCAAUGGGCGAAAGCCUGACGGAGCAACGCCGCGUGAGUGAUGAAGGUCUUCGGAUCGUAAAACUCUGUUAUUAGGGAAGAACAAAUGUGUAAGUAACUAUGCACGUCUUGACGGUACCUAAUCAGAAAGCCACGGCUAACUACGU
rnacentral:rRNA from 1 species